GAUGAACGCUAGCGGCAGGCUUAACACAUGCAAGUCGAGGGGCAGCAUACCCAGCAAUGGGUGAUGGCGACCGGCGGAAGGGUGCGUAACGCGUGAGCAACAUACCCUAUACAGGGGGAUAAGCCAGAGAAACUUGGUCUAAUAUCCCAUAGGAAAUAGAUAAGGCAUCUUGUUUAUUUUAAAGCUUCGGUGGUAUAGGAUUGGCUCGCGUGACAUUAGCUAGAUGGAGGGGUAACGGCCCACCAUGGCAAUGAUGUCUAGGGGUUCUGAGAGGAAGAUCCCCCACACUGGGACUGAGACACGGCCCAGACUCCUACGGGAGGCAGCAGUGAGGAAUAUUGGACAAUGGAUGGAAAUCUGAUCCAGCCAUGCCGCGUGCAGGAAGACGGCCCUAUGGGUUGUAAACUGCUUUUAUACGGGAGCAAUAAGGUCUAUGCAUAGAUUGAUGAGAGUACCGUAUGAAUAAGCAUCGGCUAAC
rnacentral:rRNA from 1 species